rnacentral:lncRNA from 1 species
UGAUUUCUGUCCCACCUUUAGAAUUUCUUCCAAAGUGUCAGUUCCUUUAUUCAGCAUUCUGAUGGAUUUUGUCAUUUGAUCUAGCUUAGAUGCUAACAAGGUUAUCUCACCAUUUAGAUCAUCUAUGACUGUCAUAUGCUUCUUCUUCUCAGCUUCCAGCUCCUUGAUAAGUUUCUUUUCCUUUUCUCCUUGUAGACACACUUCUGCAC